UCAAUAGCUCAGUUGGGAGAGCAUGAGACUCUUAAUGCCAGAGUCAUGGGCUUGAGCCCCAAUAGAUGAC